AAUCUGAAAGGAAACGAAAAUUCGGCAAAAGAUGCGGCUUUUAUACCACAUGCUAAAACUUUAUUAGAAGUUAAGAUCGUACUUUCUGCCAUGAUUUUAAUUUCUAAACCUGGAUUAUAGAUGGCGAUUCUUGAUUGUGGUUUGUCCUCAUUCACAAUCUACAAAAAGCGAGACGUUUCGAGUCUAAUUCCCUUAUCCCCGGAGAUGAAGCCGUUACAGGAAUUAGGAUGAGGGUUAGACCAGAACUCCCGUGUGUUACAUAUUAUAUAUAACUUGAUGUAAGGAUGUUAAAUAACGUUGGUCCAUCAAGGACAUGUCCAGAUAUAUCAUAACUGUUAGAUCUACCGUAUCUUUAUAGAUCAACUUGAAUAGACCGACUAUAUCUUUAUAGAUCGCCUUGAAUUAAAUCACGUGGGCCAUAUCCAAUAUCUCAUUCUACUUAUCACCAUCCUCAAUAUUCCUCUUGA
rnacentral:lncRNA from 1 species